rnacentral:tRNA from 1 species
GCCCUAGUAGCUUAGACAUAAAGCGCCG